rnacentral:rRNA from 1 species
AUUGAACGCUAGCGGGAGGCCUAACACAUGCAAGUCGGACGAGCGGCGGACGGGUGAGUAAUGUAUGGGGAUGUGCCUGGUGGAGGGGGAUAACUACUGGAAACGGUAGCUAAUACCGCAUACCAUCAGAUGAACCCAUAUGGGAUUAGCUUGUAGGUGGGGUAACGGCUCACCUAGGCGACGAUCCCUAGCUGGUCUGAGAGGAGGAUCAGCCCCACUGGGACUGAUACACGGCCCAUACUCCUACGGGAGGCAGCAGUGGGGAAUUUUGGCCAAUGGGGGCAACCCUGAUGCAGCCAUGCCGCGUGUAUGAUGAAGGCCUUCGGGUUGUAAAGUACUUUCAGCCGGGAGGCGUUACCGACAGAAUAAGCACCGGCUAACUCCGUGCCAGCAGCCGCGGUAAUUC